rnacentral:rRNA from 1 species
CCUACGGGGUGCAGCAGUGGGGAAUAUUGGACAAUGGGCGAAAGCCUGAUCCAGCCAUGCCGCGUGUGUGAAGAAGGCCUUCGGGUUGUAAAGCACUUUCAGUGGGGUAGAAAGCCUUGGGGCUAAUACCCUCGAGGAAGGACAUCACCCACAGAAGAAGCACCGGCUAACUCCGUGCCAGCAGCCGCGGUAAUACGGAGGGUGCGAGCGUUAAUCGGAAUUACUGGGCGUAAAGCGCGCGUAGGCGGUCUGAUAAGCCGGUUGUGAAAGCCCCGGGCUCAACCUGGGAACGGCAUCCGGAACUGUCAGGCUAGAGUGCAGGAGAGGAAGGUAGAAUUCCCGGUGUAGCGGUGAAAUGCGUAGAGAUCGGGAGGAAUACCAGUGGCGAAGGCGGCCUUCUGGACUGACACUGACGCUGAGGUGCGAAAGCGUGGGUAGCAAACAGGAUUAGAUACCCCGGUAGUC